GCUUAUCUGCAGCGAACCUCGUCUAGAUUAUUUCUGUCCGAAAAACUGAAUUGUGGGAGAGUUGCCAGGCGACAAACAACAGACGGGAAAAAAGAAAAAAGAAAAAAAAGGAAAAAAAUAAAGUUUACUGGCCGGGGCUGUCGCAAGUGUCAGCCGGCACGGUGUGUGCAAAGCCGUCCGAAGUUCUCUCUGCAGCCGACGGCGAUCUUGCAGCGUGAGAGGCUCUCCGCGGCUGCUGAAGACGCGAGAAGGGGAAAGAAUUGCUUAGCGGGCUCGCUCCCAGCACCAUGCACCCCUCUGCCCGCCCCGUCUACUACGGCGUUGUUUUCGCCUGGUAUAUGUUUUUUUUCUACGGCAACGCCUACUCCUUGGCCAACCUGGAUAAGUCCCGCAUACCCACAGGCCCCUUCAACCCGUUUUACGGCAGUAAAUGGAAAUACCUGAGUUUUCUCAACGUGGUUUUGCAGGCUUUUUUCUAUGCAAUCUCCUUGCUGACCAGUGCAUUCAUACUAAUGAAGAAACGAAGAAUUGCCACAACCAUGAUUUCCUUUAAAGACUUGAUCUUUAGUAGCUUGGUUUUUCCAUUAUCCACAUUUGUGUUUGCUACAUUUUGGAGUAUGUACCUCUAUGAUCGGAACCUUAUUUACCCAAAAUAUAUGGAUUCAAUUAUUCCUGAAUGGAUUAAUCAUGGAAUGCACACUUUGGUAUUUCUUUUGGCCCUGGUAGAAAUGUUUGUUAUCCCUCAUCAGUAUCCAUCAGUGGGUAAAAGCCUCAGUAUCUUAGGAGUGCUUAUACUGGCCUAUCUACUUUGGAUCCUCUACUUUUUUGCUAAAACAGGAAAAUGGCUAUAUCCUAUCUUCAAGUUUUUAAGUCCACUUGGCAUGAUAGUGUUUUCAGGGAUUGCUGCUGUCACUAUUUUCUUUUACUACAUAUUAGGAAGAUUUCUCAACCGCAUGAUUUGGGAUACGGAUUGAUUUGUACAUUCAUAAGAAAAUGAGACUUUAAAAAAUAGCAGGCUACGAUAAGUAUAUUCUUCGAGAAUAGGAAAUAUUCCUGUACUGUCUAUUACUUAGCGUAUGAAAAUAAGACUUGGCUAGGCUGAAUAAAUGGGCUAAUCAGCAUAAAACUAGAAAGUUAUGAGAUCUAGAUUAGAGUCCCCUGAUGUGUCCCACCACAGAGAUACUCUGGGAAAGUGGUUUAAUUCUCAGCCAAGAGUUGGCUAUUUGUGGGUAACAAAAGAUCCUUUUCCUAGUAAAUGGUUUCUUUUGCUGCAGGCUCAAUACUCCUAUUGUAUAUAAUACUAAGCUAGGAUUUGUUGAGCAAUCCAUUACUGCUAUUGUUUACAGAUAAUCCCUAGACAUAAUGGGUAGAUUCACACAUCAUGCUAAAGCAAACAAAUGCUUAGCUCUCCAUUCACAAACCAUGCUGAGAAGUGAGCAGAGGUGACACAGUUCCCGUGCGUGAUGUCCACAAGAAGAAAUGCAAAUGAAAAGCUGAUGGUGUCAUCCCAAGAGCUAGACAGAUGAUGAAACUAAGAAAAUUGCUACGAAAUCUCUCUGUAUAAAGCCAAAAUAAAUUCUUCGGAAUAAAAAUUUCUGCCAGCACAGAAGAACAAAGAUCCAGGAAACAUGUGGACUACUGCCAAAGAAGUAUUGCCAUUGAUUAGAGAAUUCAGAUUGUUAUAUAGCAGUGAUGGUGAACCUUUUUGGCAUCUCGUCAGCAGCGCAACCCGGAAGAGGAGCUGCAAAGUGGGCAUGUGCACGCAUGCAUGUGCCAGGAAAUGAACUUCCCAGAUACCUAGUCUCCCGGUUACUCGUGCGCAUGCGUGCACGACGAUCAGCUGGCCAGCACACAUGCCCACACCAGAAAACUUUCCACUUUCCAGCACUGCUGCAUGCAUGAAGGCCAGCUGAUCAUUGCGUGCGCAUUCGCUCCAGAAACCUGGAAGAGGAAUGGGUGAUGCUCGUGCCAGGCAAAAUGGCUCCGCGUGCCACAAGUUUCACCAUCAUGGUUAUAUAGGAUGAUCAGAACCUGCUAAGAGACAAAUAUAACACAGAUGACUAACAUGAUUUUGUCACCCAAUUGCCUAACAAAUGAGGCUAAAUUCUAUUUUUUUUUUUAAUUCAACUGCAAUUCUAAAUUUAUUCAGAUACAUUUAUAGCUAUUUUCUUUAUUCAACAUGUACUGGUAUAAAUUACUAAACUGUAACAGAACAAAAAACCCCAAAGUCAGUCACGUAUUUUUUUAUGAUAAUUGGCUUUCUGUAAUACGAAAUCUGAGACUAUAAAAUGCUCAGUGUUAAAUAAUAGAUACGAGAGUCCAGUAAGGCAGCUGAGGCCCAGCUAGAAAUGAAAAUGGCUAGAAUGGCUAGAAUGAAUUAGGAUUAUUUUGAGGAUAAAAUGAAAUAACAUCUGAUCUUCUUCUUGACCUCUUUAGAUGAGCCCAAGUUACAAAUACAAUAAUUUAGAAAUUUGUAUACAAGUAAUACUCACUUAAUGACAGUAAUUAGGAUCAGAAUUUCUAUUGCUAGGUGAUGAGAUCAUAAAGCAUGAUGUCGUGGCUUAGCAAUGGCAAUCCAACCAGUUGCUAUGUUGCUGUGUUAAGCAAAGACCACGCAGGUUGUUAAGUGAGGAUCUUACAUGAUCAGAACUUCCUGCCAGCUCUUCCAUUGCUUGUGGGAAGCCAACUGGGAAGGUUGAAAUCACAAUUGCAUCAUGGGGGUGGGUGGGGCGGGAGAUUUUCAAUAAUCGGAUAUCCUGGCUAGUUGCCAAGCACCCAGAUCACAAUCACAUGACAGCAGAAGUGCUGAGGACCAGUUACUGAGCACCAUUCAUACGUUAUAGCAGUUUCUGAAUAUGUGGUUAUUGAAUGGGAAUUAUUUGUAUAUUCCUUAAAAAAACAAUAAGCAUAUAAAACAAUCCAGGAAUUCAGAGCCACUGAACUUGGAAUGGGGGUGUGCGGCAUAAAUCAAGAUGGAACUGAAAUAACCUCUUAUUUAACAAAACAAAAUUAAUGCUAUAAAUAAGUUAAUGAAUAGUU